rnacentral:misc_RNA from 1 species
UGAGUGGUAUUUGGUUUGUUACGGGUGGUUGGCUCUUUGCUUGUGCAACAACUUCCACCUGACUUACCUUUUCAGUUUCUUGUCAAAUGCUUAUAAAGCAUUAGAUUAAGCAUGGGUUUCUUGUGUUGGAUACCAAUUUGACGGAAUAGAGUUGUGACCGAAUUUAUGUUUUUCAUGUUACAUCUUUAAUGUGGUGUGAGAUGAACCUUUAAGCUUUCUCUGUGAACCACAUCUUUAAUGCUUGUACAUUCAUUGAUGUGGAUCACUUUGAGUUGCUUGGUCUCUUGGGUAUGGAACAUGAUGUGGGCAUGGGACUUUAUGAGUCCCGUUGUUGUCCUAGUUCAGCGUCUCUCUAAUACGAUUGUCUAUCACGUAUGGCACGUCUCAGCGUGAAAGGCUAUGUCGGA